rnacentral:rRNA from 1 species
CCUACGGGUGGCAGCAGUGAGGAAUCUUGGUCAAUGGACGAGAGUCUGAACCAGCAAAGUAGCGUGAAGGAUGACUGCCCUCUGGUUUGUAAACUUCUUUUAUAGGGGAAUAAAAUGUUUCACGUGUGGGAUUUUGUAUGUACCAUAUGAAUAAGGAUCGGCUAACUCCGGGCCAGCAGCCGCGGUAAUACGGAGGAUCCGAGCGUUAUCCGGAUUUAUUGGGUGUAAAGGGAGCGUAGGUGGAUUGUUAAGUCAGAUGUGAAAGUUUGCGGCUCAACCGUAAAAUUGCAGUUGAAACUGGCAGUCUUGAGUACAGUAGAGGUGGGUGGAAUUCGUGGUGUAGCGGUGAAAUGCGUAGAGAUCACGAAGAACUCCGAUUGCGAAGGCAGCUCACUGGACUGCAACUGACACUGAGGCUCGAAAGUGUGGGUAGCAAACAGGAUUAGAUACCCCAGUAGUC